rnacentral:rRNA from 1 species
UACGUAGGUGGCAAGCGUUGUCCGGAAUUAUUGGGCGUAAAGCGCGCGCAGGUGGUUUCUUAAGUCUGAUGUGAAAGCCCACGGCUCAACCGUGGAGGGUCAUUGGAAACUGGGGAACUUGAGUGCAGGAGAGAAGAGUGGAAUUCCACGUGUAGCGGUGAAAUGCGUAGAGAUGUGGAGGAACACCAGUGGCGAAGGCGACUCUUUGGCCUGUAACUGACACUGAGGCGCGAAAGCGUGGGGAGUAAACAGG